rnacentral:rRNA from 1 species
UCCGUAGGUGAACCUGCGGAAGGAUCAUUACCGAGUGCGGGCCCCUCGGGGCCCAACCUCCCACCCGUGUUGCCCGAACCUAUGUUGCCUCGGCGGGCCCCGCGCCCGCCGACGGCCCCCCUGAACGCUGUCUGAAGUUGCAGUCUGAGACCUAUAACGAAAUUAGUUAAAACUUUCAACAACGGAUCUCUUGGUUCCGGCAUCGAUGAAGAACGCAGCGAAAUGCGAUAACUAAUGUGAAUUGCAGAAUUCAGUGAAUCAUCGAGUCUUUGAACGCACAUUGCGCCCUCUGGUAUUCCGGAGGGCAUGCCUGUCCGAGCGUCAUUGCUGCCCUCAAGCCCGGCUUGUGUGUUGGGCCCCGUCCCCCCCGCCGGGGGGACGGGCCCGAAAGGCAGCGGCGGCACCGCGUCCGGUCCUCGAGCGUAUGGGGCUUCGUCACCCGCUCUAGUAGGCCCGGCCGGCGCCAGCCGACCCCCAACCUUUAAUUAUCUCAGGUGACCUCGGAUCAGGUAGGGAUAC